rnacentral:rRNA from 1 species
UACUCGGAUAACCGUAGUAACACUAGAGCUAAUACGUGCGUAAAUCCCGACUUUUGGAAGGGACGUAUUUAUUAGAUUUGUGGCCAGCCGGGCUUGCCCGACCAGCGUUGAAUCAUGGUAACUUGACGGAUUGCAUGGCCUCUGUGCCGGCGACGUGUCAUUCAAGUUUCUGCCCCAUCAGGUUUCGACUGUAGUGUAUUGGACUACAGUGCCUAUAACGGGUAGCGGAGGAUUAGGGUUCGAUUCCGGAGAGGGAGCCUGAGAAACGGCUACCACAUCCAAGGAAGGCAGCAGGCGCGCAAAUUACCCAAUCCCAAUUCAGGGAGGUAGUGACAAGAAAUAGCAAUGCGGGGCUACGUGUUCUGCAAUUGAAAUGAGAACAAUCUAAACCACUUAACGAGUAUCAAUUGGAGGGCAAGUCUGGUGCCAGCAGCCGCGGUAAUUCCAGCUCCAAUAGCGUAUAUGUAAGUUGUUGCGAUUAAAAAGCCCGUAGCUGAACCUCGGGCAACCCUGACGGUCCGCUUCAAUGUGAGUACUGUCGUGGGUUGUCUUUCUGGUAAGAUCGUAUCUCGCGUUCACUCGUUGGGAACGGUGCUUAUCAAGGUUACUUUGAGUAAAAUAGAGUGUUCAAAGCAAGCAUGUGCUCUGAAUACACUAGCAUGGGAUAACACGACAUGACCGAUGGUCUAUCUUGUUGGCCUGUAGACCCGUUGGUAAUGGCUAAUAGGGACGGUCGGGGGCAUUCGUAUUUCGCUGUCAGAGGUGAAAUUCUUGGAUUUGCGAAAGACGAACUACUGCGAAAGCAUUUGCCAAGGACGCUUUCAUUAGUCAAGGACGAAAGUCGGGGGAUCGAAGACGAUUAGAUACCGUCGUAGUCUCGACCAUAAACGAUGCCAAUUAGGGAUUGGAGGGCGGAUCCA